ensembl:lncRNA
AUAGGACCAACAGCACUUACUGAUAGACGGGCUUUGAGAAGUGGAAAUGAAAGAUGGCGCCAAGGUUUUUGAUCUGAGUAACUACAGGAAUGGAAUUCCCCUUAGUGAAGUGAGGAAUGUCACAAUAGCAAGUGAUGACAUCAAGUAAACAACUGUAUAAACAAAUCUGCAGUUUGGUGGGGAAUUUAGGAUACAGAUAUCCAUUCGUGGGUCAUUGGCAGUCCUAUAUGAGAUCACCUAGGGAAAGAGUGGAAACAGAAAAGAGAUGAAGUCCAGGGACUGAGGCCUCGUUUGGGAAGAUGUGGACAGACUAGUGAAAGAGACUGUAAAGACAUGACUGGAGAAAUAAAUAUAAAGAGAAGGUGAAACCCUGAAAGCUAAAUGAAGAAAGUGUUCUAAGCAGGAAUGAUCACUGUGUCAACUGAAGCUGACAGGUCAAGCAAGGACUCUCAUUUUUGGAAGGACUGAUGCUGAAGCUGAAGCUCCAAUACUUUGGACACUUGAUGAGAAGAGCCAACUCAUUGGAAAAGACCUUGAUGCUGGGAAAGGUUGAGGGCAAGAGGAGAAGAUGGUUGGAUGGCAUCACUGACUCAAUAGAUAAGAGUUUCCGCAAGCUCCAGGAGGCAGUGAAGGACAAGGAAGCCUGGCAUGAUGCAGUCCAUCAGGUCACAAAGAGUGGGACACAACUGAGUGACUGAACAACAAUAUUUUACCCACCCAUUUUCAG